UUUUUUUUUUUUUGAGAUGGAGUCUUGCUCUGUUGCCCAAACUGGAGUGCAGUGGCGUGAUCUUGGCUCACCACAACCUCCACCUCCCGGGUUCAAGCAAUUCUCCUGCCUCAGCUUCCUGAGUAGCUGGGACUACAGCCAUGCGCCACCAUGCCUGGCUAAUUUUUGUAUUUUUAGUAGAGAUGGGGUUUCACUAUGUUGGCCAGGCUGGUCUCAAACUCCUGACCUCAUGAUCUGUUCACCUUGGCCUCCCAAAGUGCUGGGAUUACAGGUGUGAGCCACUGCGCCCGGCCUAAUAUCUGAUUUUUAAGAGGCAAUAAUUAGCUUUGAUGACAGGAGUUUGUCUGAUUUUGAGACUGGACAAUGACAAGGUUAAAUUUCAACAAUGGAAGCAUGUACCCAAGUGUUUUGUCAGAUACUUUGCAUGGAAAUGCCUGCAGUUAGGGAGACUGGUGUGUAUUGAAUGCUUCUUUUAGCACAUUUCAGUUGGACUGCGAUGCAGUUCUUCAGCUCUUCAUUGAAACGCUGCUCCACAACACGAAUGCCAGCCAAGGCCAGGGAGAUGCAAGCAUGGACUCUGCAAAGCGGCGGCAUCCCAAACUCCUGGCCAAAGCCCUUGAGAUGGUUCCUUUAUUGACGAGCACAAAAGAUUUGGUCAUCAGUCUUAGUGGAAUACUACAUAAGUUGGAUCCUUAUGACUAUGAAAUGAUUGAAGUUGUCCUGAAAGUUAUAGAACGAGCUGAUGAAAAGAUAACCAAUAUUAAUAUUAAUCAGGCAUUGAGUAUUCUGAAACAUUUGAAGUCAUACAGAAGAAUUUCUCCUCCCGUGGAUCUAGAAUAUCAGUAUAUGUUGGAACAUGUCAUAACUUUGCCAUCAGCUGCCCAAACUAGACUGCCUUUUCACCUAAUAUUCUUUGGCACAGCACAGAACUUCUGGAAAAUUCUCUCUACAGAACUCAGUGAAGAAUCUUUCCCAACAUUGCUCUUAAUUUCGAAAUUAAUGAAGUUUUCUCUGGACACUCUGUACGUGUCUACAGCAAAACACGUUUUCGAAAAAAAACUGAAGCCAAAGCUCCUGAAGUUAACACAAGCUAAAUCGUCAACACUGAUGAACAAGGAAAUAACUAAGAUCACGCAGACCAUCGAAUCCUACUUACUCUCUAUAGUCAACCCAGAGUGGGCUGUAGCUAUUGCCAUCAGCCUUGCCCAGGAUAUCCCUGAAGGUUCCUUCAAGAUGUCUGCUUUGAAAUUCUGCCUUUAUUUAGCUGAAAGAUGGCUACAGAAUAUCCCAUCGCAGGAUGAAAAACGUGAAAAAGCCGAGGCUUUGUUGAAGAAGCUUCAUAUCCAGUACCGGCGAUCAGGCACAGAAGCUGUGCUCAUAGCCCACAAGCUGAACACUGAGGAAUAUUUAAGAGUGAUCGGAAAGCCAGCACAUCUUAUUGUCAGUCUCUACGAACAUCCUAGCAUCAAUCAAAGAAUUCAGAAUUCAUCUGGCACAGAUUAUCCUG
rnacentral:sRNA from 1 species